GGAAACAGCUGAUUGAUCAGCCUGGCUCAGGCUUGGGGCGGGGAUUGGCUGAUUGGCAGCAACGCCACGGGACAGCCAAGCUGGAAGCCUGAGGAGCCGGAGCGGGUGCUGGCUGCCGCGCGGCGGAGUGUGUUUUAUGGACCAUGUGCUGCUAUGUAUGCCUGAAGAAGUACUUGAAAUGCAAAUUUGGGGAGACUUUGCCAUAUAAAUGCUUGGCUGGAUUAAGCGCCUAAUUAGGAUGGUUUUUCAUCAAGUUGGAGUAAGCAUGCAAUCGGUACUUUGGUCUAGGAAGCCAUAUGGUUCGUCUCGAAGUAUCGUAAGGAAAAUUGGUACUAAUUUGUCUCUGAUUCAGUGUCCAAGAGUUCAGUUUCAGCUGUAGUAGGACAGGACCUUGCUGGGAACCUUCAAUUAACAGCCAUGCAACAGAAUGGAGUCCCAGCCACCCAGGAGAGGAUGCAGUGGCUUCUUUUGCUGAUGUUGGAUGGGUAGCCAAAGAAGAAGGAGAAUGUUCAGCAAGACUAAGGACAGAGGUCAGAUCAAGGCCACCCCUUCAGGAUGACCUUCUUUUCUUUGAGAAGGCCCCAAGCAGACAGAUUUCCUUACCAGACUUGUCUCAAGAAGAGCCUCAGCUGAAGACCCCAGCACUGGCAAACGAGGAAGCACUGCAGAAGAUUUGCGCUCUCGAAAAUGAACUUGCUGCUCUCAGAGCUCAGAUUGCCAAAAUUGUGACCCAGCAGGAGCAGCAAAAUCUCAUUGCAGGUGACUUAGAUUCUACCACAUCUGGUACCACACUACCACCCCCUCCGCCUCCUCCACCACCCCCGCCUCCCCCUCCACUGGGGCUCCACCAAAGUGUAUCUGCCAUUGAUCUGAUUAAAGAGCGAAGAGAGAAAAGAGCCAAUGCUGGAAAGACUUUGGUUAAGAACAAUCCAAAGAAACCUGAAAUGCCAAAUAUGCUAGAGAUCCUUAAAGAUAUGAACAGUGUAAAACUUCGGUCAGUGAAGAGGUCAGAGCAAGACGUGAAGCCCAAGCCAGUGGAUGCUACUGACCCUGCUGCCCUCAUAGCAGAGGCUCUGAAAAGGAAAUUUGCUUAUCGGUAUCGAAGUGAUAGCCAAGAUGAAGCUGAAAAAGGAGUUCCAAAGUCUGAAUCAGAGGCCACUUCAGAGAGAGUGUUGUUUGGGCCACACAUGUUGAAGCCAACAGGAAAAAUGAAGGCUUUAAUUGAAAAUGUAUCAGACUCCUAAUAGACAAUGAGCUGCGAAAGACUCCUGGCUCCCCUGUUGAUUUGUGAGGGCUAAGUUUGCUAGUAGAAAUCGACACUAUUUAGUAAAUACCUGACUUUAGUAUUCAGUGGUCUCCUUUUCAGGCUAAUUGAGGAUUAAGCAGUAAUGAAAGCACUAAGUUUGGUUUUCAUUUUGUGAGAUGGUCAGCGUUGGUGCUCUCCACAACUUACAUGUGUUCUGACAUGUUUCUAAUAUAUGGCCAGGGCGUUCAGAUUUCCAGUUUUGAAAACAAUUGUAUAGAUUUCACAACACAAAAAGGACAUUUGUGGAUGUUACUGCACAUUUUAAAUUCUUAACACUAAUUUAUCUGUGUAAAUGUUUCAUAUGCAUAUUUUUGGACAUAAACAGUUUAUGUAAAAUUAGUAAUGAAUGAUGGCAACGAGGGCACUGUUAUCUUCGUUUGUUUUCAAUGAUCAUUUAGCAUUCAAUGAUGGAACAGCUGGUAUAACAUAAGUUGUUGGCAUGAAAUAUUUGAGAUUGGAAACUUCUUGCCUUGAACAGAACUUAUAUCUUAGAUUCUCUCUCACAUUUUCUUGGAGCUGGGGUUUGAAUAGGAACCAGAUGAUGUUCACUGCUGAAAUUCCAUAAUGCUUCCCACUGAAGGGACGUUGAGAAACAGGAAAGCUGCUUUCACGCCAUUGCCAUCCAGUACUGACAGGGAAGAAAGAUGUAGUUUUCCAGUAGUGAUGAAUCAAAUUAUUGAAUUAAAUUUCUUCUUAAGUAAAAACUCAGAAUGUACCAUCUUGUUUCCUUUCAGUUGAUUAAAUGGCAUCAUAAAGAUGACUUUGCUAAGUUAAUACUUCUGGAAAUGUCAGAGUAGAGUUAAAAAAAAUUUUAAUAUAAGCCAAAAUAUUAACUUUAAUGAAACAUAGAAUUGGCAAAUGAAUUUCCUAUAAAUUGUCAUUGGUCAGAAUGCUGUUUUGUUUAGUUAUAUUACACAAUAUAAACCAUAGGUGUUAUUAGAAGUGAAGAACUGCCUUUUUCAUCGGGGGCUUUUAAGGACUUGCUGUAAAUGAUUAUUUUAAAAAUGCUUUAUAAAUCUUCAUGAUUUUUCUAUUUCUGAUACACUCAGCUAUAGUUAAUGCCAGAGUAUCCUACCCGGAGUAAAUAUUUGGAAUAUUUAAAUCUAGUAAAAGUAGAAAGUUAUACUUCCUGGGAUUAUUAGGAGAUGGGAGUAGACAUUCACUUUUAACUUCUCGAAAAUACAUGCAUUCUCCUAAAUAUUAAAAAUGACUUGGGGUAAUGACAUGGCUUGGUUAUUCUGUUUAAAUUUGUACUAUGACUUAUGUUAUACAUGUUCAUGUUCACCUCUCAUCCAUCCAUUUUAUGGGGUUUAAAAUUCUCUUUAACAAAAUUCAGAAAAUUUACCUGAAACUUAUUUUGACCUGCUAAGAAACAUAUUUUUAUAUAAGUAUUGAAUUUUGGACAGUGCCCCCAUAUAAGGAAGUUACUGUUUCAAAAUAAAGCAAACUGUUUUAUUUUCCUUGGA